UACGUAUGGUGCAAGCGUUAUCCGGAUUUACUGGGUGUAAAGGGUGCGUAGGUGGCAAGGCAAGUCUGAAGUGAAAAUCCGGGGCUCAACCUCGGAACUGCUUUGGAAACUGUUUAGCUAGAGUACAGGAGAGGUAAGUGGAAUUCCUAGUGUAGCGGUGAAAUGCGUAGAUAUUAGGAGGAACACCAGUGGCGAAGGCGACUUACUGGACUGCUACUGACACUGAGGCACGAAAGCGUGGGGAGCAAACAGG
rnacentral:rRNA from 1 species